ACGAAUUUCCAUGGGCCAUUUUUGUUUUGCGAAGAAGCCUAUACCUUGCGCGGUGGACCGAGUUGACGGUGAUAACCUCCUCCCUUCUCCUCCGCCAGAUCUCAUCCUCGCCGCCGCCGCCGCUGCCGCCGAAUUUCUCCUCGUCGUUUUGUCUCCACCUCUCACUCUCGCUGAAGCUUAUUAAGGACCGACAGCAUGUGCCGGCAAAAUUCUCCGGUACACCAUGCCGGUGAAGAAGAAAUUGCAGCUGAUGAGAGUCUUUUAAUUUAUUGCAAGCCUGUUGAACUGUACAAUAUUCUCUACCGCCGCGCUCUUCAAAAUCCUUCUUUUCUUAGGAGAUGUUUGCUUUAUAAAAUAAGAGCAAGGCGUAAAAGGAGGUUGAGAGCAGGAAUUGUGAUUUUCAAUUAUAGGGAUCACUACAACAUUCUUCGGAAAACUGAAGUGACCGAAGACUUUUCUUGUCCGUUUUGCUUGAUGCAGUGUGGAAGCUUUAAGGGUUUGCGAUUUCAUCUUUGUUCAUCUCAUGAUCUAUUCAACUUUGAGUUCUGGGUUACUGAAGAUUACCAAGCAGUGAAUGUCUCCGUGAAAAUUAAUAUAUUGAGAUCAGAGAAUGUUGCUGAUGGAGUAAUUCCACAAUCGCAAACUUUCUUCUUUUGUUCAAGACCUCGAAAACGUAGAAGAAAGGACUCUGUUCAAAAUGAAAAAUGCACCAAUGUAAAAUUCCUGGAGUUGGACUCACCAGAAGGCAUACAUAAUGGAUUUCUAGAAAAAGAUGAUGAUGGUAGGAAUUAUAUACUAUCCUGCAAAGGGGAGAACGUGUCUAGAACAUCUCGUAGUGAGAAAAUUUUGUCUAGAGAAAGAAAUGAUGGAGGAAAAUUUGGUCCUGAUCAUUCUUGCACUAUGGACGACCUGGAGCAUGUUGAAUCCAGUUUCAACAUUCCAGGUGUUUCAAUUGCCAUGCCCCAAUCUUCUGUGGACCCUGAAUGUAGUAAAUCAAUAUGUAAAAGUGAUCCAGCUCUGCCUGCUAAAACAAAGAAGCUAAGCAUGGAUCGAUCAGACUCAAGAAACCGGAUGCUUCUGCAGAAGAGACUUUUCUUUCACUCACACAGAGUCCAGCCUAUGGCACUAGAACAAGUGUUAUCAGACCGUGAUAGUGAAGACGAAGUUGAUGACGACAUUGCAGAUCUUGAAGAUAGAAGGAUGCUUGAUGAUUUUGUGGAUGUUUCCAAAGAUGAAAAACAGCUCAUGCAUCUCUGGAACUCUUUUAUGAGGAAGCAAAGGGUGCUGGCAGAUGGUCAUGUUCCGUGGGCCUGUGAGGCAUUUUCCAAGCUUCAUGGAAAAGAGCUGAUCUCAUCUCCUGCUUUAUUUUGGUGUUGGAGGUUAUUCAUGAUCAAACUUUGGAAUCAUGGUCUUCUUGAUGCGUGUACUAUGAACAACUGUAGCACAAUAUUAGAUAGUUACAGAAAUGAGUGAUUGGGUACAAGAAAAAGUUAAAGACCAGAAGGAAACUGACUCAACAAGAAUAUACAGUCUUCCCCGCCUUGUAUUUUGCUUGAUUGCAGGUGGGUUAUUGUGCUGAAGUUUAUAAAGUUUAGUACUUUGAAAGUUGAAACAGAUAUGUUGUGUGGUUGAGAAAAAGCAAGAUCUGGCUGACACAAUUGGGCUGAAUACAAUGUUAGCUUCUAGGUACCAUAGUAGUUGCGGUGACUGAAUUUUUAAAUUGGCCUUAAAUAAUUUAUUUCCCUAUGACAAUUGUACAAGGCAAUGAUCUGGCCUUUGGCGUCAAAACAUUUAAGACUUCCUCUUCCAUAUUAAAUAAGAUUUCUCUAAAA